AUGCUGCUCCUUUGCACUGAGCAAGGUGACGAACAUUUCAUAGCUAACUUUCUAGAUGAAGAGGGCCCAGAACCUGCUGAUUCAGCUUCUAUGCAUGAUUCUGGUAAUUUUGUUCUCUACAAUAACUCUUCUCAUGUUAUUUGGCAAAGUUUUGAUAACCCAACUGACAACAUAUUAGGAGGUCAAAACUUGUCCAAAGGAGACGAGUUGGUGUCUAGGUCAGACCACUCAAGUAGACGUUAUUGUCUCAAGAUGAAGACCAAUGGAAACCUCGUUUCCUCCCCUGUAAACAGUACAGAUGGUUCACAAAAUGCCUAUUGGUACGUGGACACUUUCGAUUUCUCUGGUGUUAAGCUCAGUCUUAACGAAAGGGGUUUUCUACGCUUAACCACUUACAGUUCCAGCUUAGUCAUUUUGGCGAAUAAUUCUUACCCUGGCAAGAAAGAGACUAGUACUAUUAUCUAUCGUGCAAUACUUGAUUCUGACGGAAUUUUUAAGUUGUAUUCACACCACUUUUGGGGCAAUAGUAAUACUAGCUCAAAUGUGUCCUUGGAAUGGUCAUCUUUGCAUGAUCAAUGUGAAGUCAGAGGUUUUUGUGGCUUGAAUAGUUACUGCACGGGCACUGGCUCCAAAGCAGAAUGUCACUGUUAUCCUGGAUUUCAUUUCUUGAACCCCAAAAAUAAGUGGUUGGGCUGUUACAACAACUUCAGUGAAGAUGGUUGCAGCAAAGGUCCAGUGAUACACUACAACAUUACUGCUUCACCGAAUAUAUCUUGGGGUGAUUUUCCUUAUUCAGUGCAACUUAUAAAUCCGGAAAACUGUUACAAGUCUUGCCUUGGAGACUGUAAUUGUGGGGCUGCUUUUUAUUUCUACGUGGAUGGCACUUGCAAUAAAUUCAAGCUUCCACUUAGAUAUGGUAGAAGUCAAAAUUUAUCAGUUAUAGCUUUCUUUAAGGUGAUUCAGAGAAAUGGUGGAAGUUUAGAUGAUCACAAUCCAGUUUUCCUAAAGGAUAGCAAAAAAAAAAUCAUUUUGAUUCUUUCCCUAACUUUGGGUUCCAUUGCAUUGCUGUGUUCUUGGUUUUCUUACAAUGAGCUUGAGAACGCAACAGACGGAUUCAAGGAAGUGUUAGGUGAGGGUUCUUUUGGAUCAGUUUAUAAAGGGUAUAUAUCCGAAGCUAACAAAACUAUUGUUGUUAAGAGACUAGAGAAAUUUGUGGAAGAAGGGGAAAGGGAGUUUCAAGCUGAAAUGACUACCAUUGGACGAACUCAUCAUAGAAACUUAGUUCAGUUGCUUGGUUUCUGUAUUGAGGGAUCUAGGAAGCUUCUUGUUUAUGAAUACAUUAGCGGUUCACUUGCAGAUCUUCUCUUCAAGGCUAAGAAGCGCCCCCUUUGGAAGGAAAGAGUGAGAAUCACACUAGAAGUGGCUAGGGGGGUCUUCUAUCUACAUCAAGAGUGCGAGGUCCAUAUCAUCCAUUGCAAUCUAAAACCUCAAAAUAUACUCAUGGAUGAUACUUGGACCGCAAAGAUCUCAGAUUUUGGAUUGGCGAGGCUAUCUGUGCCGAAUCAAACAAGAAUUUCAAUGGGCAUUGAAGGGACAAGUGAGUACUCUGCACCUGAAUGGCAGAAAAAUUCCCCGAUAUCAGUAAAAGCUGACAUUUAUAGUUUGGCGUGCUGCUUUUGGAGAUUGUAUGUUGCAGAGGCAGCAUAGAAGUAAAUGUUUUAACAACAGAUGAGAUACUUCUUUCUAACUGGGUAUAUAAUUGCUUUGUGGCUGGACAGUUGGAUAAGCUUGUGGAAGAUGAAAAUGUAGACAUGAAGACACUAGAAAGAAUGGUGAAGGUCGGCUUGUGGUGCAUUCAAGAAGAUCCAGCUUUGCGUCCUCCCAUGAAGAAUGUAAUCUUGAUGUUAGAGGGGACAAUGGAUGUAGCGGUCCCUCCAUUUCCUAAAUUGCAAGUUUUUGUAAUUUAA